GGUGAGAGCUAAGCACAACGACUUCGCCGCCACCGGCCGCUACGGGGACCACACCGGGCUCAGCUGCUUCAGCCCCGUCCUGAACAUCAUGAGACACCCGCUGUGGGGCAGGAACCAGGAGACCUACGGGGAGGACCCGUUCCUGAGCGGGGAGCUGGGCCGCAGCUUCGUGCAGGGGCUGCAGGGCCAGCACCCCCGCUACAUCAAGGCCAGCGCCGGCUGCAAACACUUCAGCGUGCACGGGGGCCCUGAGAACAUCCCCGAAUCCAGGCUCAGCUUCGACGCCCAGGCGAGUGUGGCGGGUCCAGGGGUGGCAGGAGGGCGGGUGACACUCCGGGCACUCCUGACCCUGCUCUGCUGCGGCGCUUGCAGGUGCUGGAGCGGGACUGGCGCAUGACCUUCCUGCCCCAGUUCCAGGCGUGUGUCCGUGCUGGUUCCUUCAGCUUCAUGUGCAGCUACAACAGGAUCAAUGGCGUUCCCGCCUGUGCCAACAAGAAGCUGCUGACGGACAUCCUGCGUGGCGAGUGGGGCUUCGAGGGGUACGUGGUGAGCGAUGAGGGGGCCCUGGAGCUCAUCAUGCUGGGGCACCACUACACACACACCUUCCUGGAGACAGCAGUCGCCUCAGUCAACGCCGGCUGCAACCUGGAGCUCUCCUAUGGCAUGAGGAACAACAUCUUCAUGCACAUCCCUCAGGCUCUGGCCAUGGGCAACAUCACGCUGCAGAUGCUGCGUGACCGAGUCCGGCCCCUCUUCUACACGCGGAUGCGGCUGGGGGAGUUCGACCCCCCAGAGAUGAACCCCUACAGUGCCCUGGACCUGAGCGUGGUGCAGAGCCCUGAGCACCGCAACCUCUCGCUGGAAGCUGCUGUCAAGAGCUUUGUGCUGCUGAAGAACAUUCGGGGGACUCUGCCCCUGCGGGCCCAGGACCUGCCCGGCCAGCGCCUCGCGGUGGUGGGUCCCUUCGCUGACAACCCCAGGGUGCUGUUCGGGGACUACGCGCCGGUGCCAGAGCCUCAGUACAUCCACACUCCCCGGUGAGACAGCGCGGUGCCACCUCGUGUUCCCCUGUCCUGGGCAC
rnacentral:lncRNA from 1 species